rnacentral:rRNA from 1 species
UGCACGCUGGCGGCGUGCCUAAUACAUGCAAGUCGAGCGACCAGAUGAGGAGCUUGCUCCUCUGACGUUAGCGGCGGACGGGUGAGUAACACGUGGAUAACCUACCUAUAAGACUGGGAUAACUUCGGGAAACCGGAGCUAAUACCGGAUAAUAUAUUGAACCGCAUGGUUCAAUAGUGAAAGACGGUUUUGCUGUCACUUAUAGAUGGAUCCGCGCCGCAUUAGCUAGUUGGUAAGGUAACGGCUUACCAAGGCAACGAUCCGUAGCCGACCUGAGAGGGUGAUCGGCCACACUGGAACUGAGACACGGUCCAGACUCCUACGGGAGGCAGCAGUAGGGAAUCUUCCGCAAUGGGCGAAAGCCUGACGGAGCAACGCCGCGUGAGUGAUGAAGGUCUUCGGAUCGUAAAACUCUGUUAUUAGGGAAGAACAAAUGUGUAAGUAACUAUGCACGUCUUGACGGUACCUAAUCAGAAAGCCACGGCUAACUACGUG